AUUGAACGCUGGCGGCAUGCCUUACACAUGCAAGUCGAACGGCAGCGGACCUUCGGGUGCCGGCGAGUGGCGAACGGGUGAGUAAUAUAUCGGAACGUACCUUUCAGUGGGGGAUAACGUAGCGAAAGUUACGCUAAUACCGCAUAUUCUGUGAGCAGGAAAGCAGGGGAUCGCAAGACCUUGCGCUGAUUGAGCGGCCGAUAUCAGAUUAGCUAGUUGGUGAGGUAAAGGCUCACCAAGGCGACGAUCUGUAGCGGGUCUGAGAGGAUGAUCCGCCACACUGGAACUGAGACACGGUCCAGACUCCUACGGGAGGCAGCAGUGGGGAAUUUUGGACAAUGGGCGCAAGCCUGAUCCAGCCAUGCCGCGUGAGUGAAGAAGGCCUCGGUUGUAAGUACGUCUUACGGUCCGGACGAAAGUACGACACGGUAAGUACCGUACGUGUGGAGUGACGGUACGGAACGUAAGAAGACA
rnacentral:rRNA from 1 species